rnacentral:rRNA from 1 species
CCUACGGGAGGCAGCAGUGAGGAAUAUUGGUCAAUGGGCGCCAGCCUGAACCAGCCACGUAGCGUGAAGGAUGACUGCCCUACGGGUUGUAAGCUCCUUUUAUAAGGGAAUAAAGUGCGGCACGUGUGCCUUUUUGUCUGUACUUUUUGAAUAAGGAUCGGCUAACUCCGCGCCAGCAGCCGCCGUAAUACGGAUGUUCCGAGCGUUAUCCGGAUUUAUUGGGUUUAAAGGGACCGUAGAUGGGCUGAUAAGUCAGUUGUGAAGGUUUGCGGCUCAACCGUAAAAUUGCAAUUGAUACUGGCAGCCUUGAGUACAGUUGAGGUAGGCGGAAUUCGUGGUGUAGCGGUGAAAUGCUUAGAUAUCACGAAGAACUCCGAUUGCGAAGGCAGCCUACUAAACUGCAACUGACAUUGAUGCUCGAAAGUGUGGGUAUCAAACAGGAUUAGAUACCCUAGUAGUC